rnacentral:tRNA from 1 species
GGGCCCAUAGCUCAGUUGGUUAGAGCGCACGCCUGAUAAGCGUGAGGUCGGUGGUUCAAAUCCACCUGGGCCCACCA